CAGCCGCCACGGUAAUACGAAGGUCCCGAGCGUUGUUCGGAAUCACUGGGCGUAAAGGGAGCGUAGGCGGUAUGGUAAGUCAGAUGUGAAAUCCCGGGGCUCAACCCCGGAACUGCAUCCGAUACUGCCGUGCUAGAGGACUGGAGAGGCAACUGGAAUUCUCGGUGUAGCAGUGAAAUGCGUGGAGAUCGAGAGGAACACUCGUGGCGAAAGCGAGUUGCUGGACAGUAUCUGACGCUGAGGCUCGAAGGCCAGGGUAGCGAAAGGGAUUAGAUACCCGCGUAGUCCCUGUCUCUUAUAA
rnacentral:rRNA from 1 species